rnacentral:lncRNA from 1 species
AGGGUAAGCAAGGCGUGUCUGGAUCCACUGGACUCCCAGGACUCCCCGGCGAGCCAGGCUCACCAGGGGAGCCAGGGGUGCCUGGGAGAGAUGGCCUGAAAGGAGAAAAGGGGGACCUAGGUGGAGUGAUUGGGCCCCAGGGACCUCCAGGUCCUAAGGGUGAGCCUGGAGAACCGGGCGGAGGAUAUAUGGCCGAUGGGUUGUCUCUGACUAGAGGAUCUCGGGGGCCUAAGGGUGAGAGAGGUGUCCCAGGACUGCCAGGAGACCACGGUGAAAAGGGUGAACCCGGUGACAGCUCCACAGGCCCACCUGGCCCCAUGGGACCCUCAGGCAAACCAGGAAUUGAGGGACCCCGUGGAUCACCAGGUGUAUCUGGCCCUCCUGGAGCUCCAGGAAGAGAGGUGAGUAAGACUAGUCCAUCUGUCUUUCCUUUACCUUUCUUACUCCCUCGCACAUCUACAGAUUAA